UACAGAGGUCUCAAGCGUUGUUCGGAUUCAUUGGGCGUAAAGGGUGCGCAGGCGGCCAAGUGUGUGAGGCGUGAAAGCCUGGAGCUUAACUCCAGAAUUGCACCUCAAACUACUUGGCUAGAGCAUUGGAGAGGGUAGCGGAAUUCACGGUGUAGCAGUGAAAUGCGUAGAUAUCGUGAGGAACACCAGAGGCGAAGGCGGCUACCUGGACAAUUGCUGACGCUCAGGCACGAAAGCGUGGGGAGCAAAAGGG
rnacentral:rRNA from 1 species